rnacentral:rRNA from 1 species
ACGUAGGGAGCAAGCGUUGUUCGGAUCUACUGGGCGUAAAGGGCGCGUAGGCGGCAUAUUAAGUCAGCUGUGAAAUCUCCGAGCUUAACUCGGAACUGUCAGCUGAUACUGAUGUGCUAGAGUGCAGAAGGGGCAACCGGAAUUCUUGGUGUAGCGGUGAAAUGCGUAGAUAUCAAGAGGAACACCUGAGGCGAAGGCGGGUUGCUGGGCUGAUACUGACGCUGAGGCGCGAAAGCUAGGGUAGCAAACAGGA